CCUACGGGAGGCAGCAGUGGGGAAUAUUGCACAAUGGGGGAAACCCUGAUGCAGCGACGCCGCGUGAGUGAAGAAGUAAUUCGUUAUGUAAAGCUCUAUCAGCAGGGAAGAAAAUGACGGUACCUGAGUCUUAAGCCCCGGCUAACUACGUGCCAGCAGCCGCGGUAAUACGUAGGGGGCAAGCGUUAUCCGGAUUUACUGGGUGUAAGGGGAGCGUAGACGGCAGGGCAAGUUUGGAGUGAAAGGCGCGGGCUCAACCCGCGAACUGCUCGUGAUACUGGACGGCUGGAGUGCAGGAGAGGUGAGUGGAAUUCCUAGUGUAGCGGUGAAAUGCGUAGAGAUUAGGAGGAAGACCAGUGGCGAAGGCGGCUUACUGGACUGUAACUGACGUUGAGGCUCGAAAGCGUGGGGAGCAAACAGGAUUAGAUACCCCUGUAGUC
rnacentral:rRNA from 1 species